GAUAACUAGCUUGUGGCAGCCAAGCGUUCAUAGCGAUGUUGCUUUUUGAUCCUUCAAUGUCGGCUCUUCCUAUCACCGUGAAGCUGAAUUCACCAAGUGUUGGAUUGUGCACCCACCAAUAGAGAACGUGAUCUGGGUUUAGACCAUCGUGAGACAGGUC
rfam:Lupinus angustifolius cultivar Tanjil chromosome LG16, whole genome shotgun sequence.